UACGACAUCAACGGGUAUCGCUUUCGUACCUAUGGCAAAGAGCUAUCUAUGGCCGACCGAAAGUCUACAAAUUGUUGUGUAUCUGCUAUCGGCGAAGGAGGUGCCGAGUAUUAUGGGAGAGUUGAAGCAAUUUAUGAACUUAUAUUCUAUGGUGACAACCCACCGAAUGUCGUACUCUUCAAAUGUUAUUGGUUUCAGCCGAAGGAGACUAGAAGGACUCAGGAACAUAUAGGGCUAGUUGAAAUCAAACAAAGCACCCAUUUAGAUGUUCCUGAUGUCUAUAUUACGGCUCAACAGGCGACCCAAGUAUUCUAUCUACCGUGGGCCUGCCAAACUAAUCCAAAUCUGAAAGGUUGGGAUGUCGUCUAUGAAGUGCCGCCACGUGCUAGACUAUCUCCCCCAAAGGAAGAGGAUUAUGAACCUCACAUUAACCCA
rnacentral:rRNA from 1 species